GACAGUCGCCGCUUCGUCGUCGUCCUCUUCGGGGGAGACGGGCGGAGGGGAGGAAAGUCCGGGCUCCAUAGGGCAGGGUGCCAGGUAACGCCUGGGGGGCGCAAGCCCACGACCAGUGCAACAGAGAGCAAACCGCCGAUGGCCCACGUAAGUGGGAUCAGGUAAGGGUGAAACGGUGCGGUAAGAGCGCACCGCGCGUCUGGUAACAGUUCGCGGCACGGUAAACUCCACCCGGAGCAAGGCCAAAUAGGGGUUCAUAAGGUACGGCCCGUACUGAACCCGGGUAG
rnacentral:RNase_P_RNA from 1 species